rnacentral:lncRNA from 1 species
CGGACUUCGGCCUGUCUUUCCUUUAAAAUUUGCAAGCUUUUGAAAAGAAUCAUCUUGCGGAAAUUUGUUGGUUUGGCAGAUUUUUUCGCCAGAUCUUUCACAAUUGAAUUGGUUGCGCACCUUCUGCUGUUAGCGUGACCAGCAUAAACUCCACCAUGGCUCGAAUGCUGUCUUUUGGGAGGAAGUCUUCAAAGUGAGGUUCAUUUGAAAUAUCAUUCAGCGCAAAACGCAAGUUCAUUUGGCAAACGAAAAUGUGGUUAUUUCAAAUAACCAAAGCAGAUAUUUUGAUUAUAUGAUAUAAUAAAACUAGAAAUACAUGCAUGCAACAACGCCUCGCCUAUAUUUUCCAAACAUUGUUUCAACAUGAAGUAUUCGUAAUUACGCCAACACUGAACGGAGGGUCGUGUUGCUGACGUCAUACUAGCCCUGGCAACACAAUGUCACAAUAAUUGUUUUUCAAUUUGUUUGUACAAAAGUACAAAACUGAAAAAAAUAAAUGAAACUUGAACACUUUUAAGUACAGAACUAUCAAUUUCUAAUAUAUAUAAAGUAGGUAUAUUAUUUUGCUUUCUAUGGGCUCCAUUUUAAUGUAAAAUGCAGCACGAAACUCUUUUCGUAGAACCUUUUUAAAUGUGAAUUGAAAUUAACUGCUUUUUUGCCGAUAAACUCUUCAACUCGAGCUUCAACUUAUUACUCGCACUUUGAAAUUAAAUAAAUUUAAUUCAUAUCGGACGCUAAUGAAAAUAAUUUGCUUUCCUUUUUGUCAUGAACUUCUACAAAAGUUAAUUUUAACUAAGAAACUUUCGCAUAUAAUGCAUAGGAAAGACUUGAACAACAAAAACAAAGUCUGUAAUAAUAUAAGGUCAUACAUGAACAAUUGAAAUACACUUGCCUUAUACUUUAGGAUUUCUGAUACUAAAUCGUCUAAAUAUUGAAAAAAAGUUUUACAAUUUGUUAUGUGAAACGAUUUUCCAAGCUUUUUUACAUGUUUUUUUUUAAUUUUUUUGCCUCCUUCACUCCUGGCAAACAGCCAAAUUUUGAUAUCAGUGAGAUGAACACCCAUACACCAUGCGCCCGUGAUAUUUGAUGAACUUUAGACUUCACUAGUGCGUUCCUUUCCUCGGGUGUAAUUAGCCGGGUGAAAUUAAUACCCUCGCCCACGGCUUACGCCCGGAACGGCGCUUGCUCGGGGAUAAAUCACCCAAAAUAUUUUCGUAAUUUAUCUAAAUAAUAAAAAAAUGCUUUUCCAGGGCAUUGCUAUUGGGUAAAUUUUCGGACAAGGUAACUUUGAGAGCUUUUUUCGCUAAGAGAAAAUUUCGUCUGAGAAAAUCACCAAUGCAGUCUUAAUGUACAAUAGUUUAGGUGCUCAAAAUAACAAAAAAAAAAUUGAGAAAAUGUUCAACUGAAAAUCAGCUGAUAAGAGGCGGUGGUCACCUUCAUGGGAAUAUAAAUAAGAACAUUUUUCUAUGCACUUUCUGUCUCUAAACGUGAUGGAACUGGAUUUAUAAAUGCGUGCUCUGAUUGGUCGAAACCUGUGUUUGGAUCAGGCCAUCCAAACACGGAAAUUUAAAGUGAAAGUUUUUUAAAGUGAAAUUUUAACACGGAAAGUUUGUUAUAUUAUAAAAUUUGUUAUAUUAAUACUCGCCUUCGGCUCGUGUUUCGCGCGCUUUUCUUCACUCUCGCAACAUUCCCGCGUUUUUGGAUCAGCCCAUCCAAACACGGAAACCAUAAAGUAAUUGUAUAUUAAUAUUUUGGUAUAUGAUUUAAUUCGGUGCACAUUAAUAAUUUGUCACUGAUGACUCACAGGAAACAUCAUUUCUCGUAUUUUCAUAAUAUUUUGUGCAAAUACUCUCUGCGAGAGCAAGUUAUGUUUGUGUAGAGGUUUUAGCCAUUGCUUUACGCACAAAUCAGUCCUGAUUGUCACCUUGAUUGAAUUAUCAAUUUAUACUGUUGGUAGUGGUUCCACUCAAUAAAAGUGUUGAAAACAGCAAUGUUAUAUAUGUUUCCGCGCAUUUGUAAAUUAAACUAUAUGAGAGAAAAAUAAGAAAGCUCCUCAUUCCUGUCAUCUUUAAAAUUCUAAUAUCUUUAAUGUUUGUGUUUAUUAUUGUUUAUUGUGUAUGUAAAACUUGUUUGUAAAAUGUGUUAAUUGAUCAAAAUUAAGUAGUAUAAAAUAUGUAGGCCUACCUUUCUUUUGUCCUCAUUCAAAAUUAUUUCAGAAUUUCCUGACACAUUUCACUUGUGUUAUACUGUUUAUUUCAGGGGCGGUUGUAUAAAAUUCUUGAUCACUAUUUUGUAGUUAAAUAGUGAUUAACUCUCAAAUAUGCGCUUCUUAUUGGAUGACAUUUCCACUUAACUCUGAUCACUUUUUUAUACAACCGGCCCCAGGAAGUUAAUUUGAACCAAAUAUUUCUCCACAUUUGGAAUUAAAAUUGGUUCAAAAUAACUCUAACCGGUAU